rnacentral:misc_RNA from 1 species
AAUAUUUUGCAAAUGUGUCUGUCAGAUUGCUUUGACAAAACGUUCAAUACAUACAAACAAAAAUUAUCAAAAUAUUAAACAAAAUACAUAACUAAAUGAAAAAAACAAUUGGCAAAUGCAUAGAUAAAAACAAUUUAAAUUAAAAAAAAAUUAUUAAAUAAUAAUAAAAUAACAAUAAUUUACUUUUAACUAGAAAAUAAUUAUUUAAUAAUUUUGUGUAAUUGUUAAGUAAUAAUAAAAAUAAAAAAAUGGGUAAUAAAUCCUCUAGUAAUAUUUCAACUUAUCCCCAACAUGACGAUCCGGCCUAUAGAAAAUGUCAAGAAUUAAAGAUGGAACGUUGGAUACAAAUGCACUAUCAAAUUAAGGAACGUGAACAGGCCACUGAAAUUGCCCGUAAUAGAGAAUUUUUCUAUUGGUUAAGUGGUUUCUAUAUAACAUCCCUGCUGGGUUGUUUUUCAUUUUAUCAACGCACACGUAGACCGGUUACAUUACUGCCCAUGGUACCUUUGUCAUUUGUUAUGGGUUAUUAUGGUGAUUUAGCUUAUGGCAGUAAGAUACAUCGUAUUAAAGAUUUGACUGUUACCAAAAUUAUAACCGAUUUGGGUUUACUAGGCCCAUUUUUGGGUGUACCACCGCCCCCAAAAUGAAUCUGAUUUAUGCCAAAAAAACCUUUUACUUUAAACAACUUUAAACUUAUUAUUUGAGUUUUGUUUGAAAAACAAAAAACCAAAUGUUGUGCAGCUUUAAAUAAUUAAAAUGAACAAUUGAAAUUAUUGUUUCAAAUAAAAUGAUUUAUUUUAUAAAAAAAAUUAUAAUAAAAACUGAAGCCAAUAUGAUAAUGGAACAUGAAUCAGAACUGUUGCAUUGGCCUGGUGGUCUACCCACAGUGGCUACUAUUGAUGAGGCACGUGUCGAGGCUGAAAUGGAAAAGAAAAUGCAUCCCCACCAUUCAUAGGCUCU